rnacentral:rRNA from 1 species
GUUUCCUACGGGAGGCAGCAGUGGGGAAUAUUGGACAAUGGGGGGAACCAUGAUCCAGCGACGCCGCGUGAGUGAAGAAGUAUUUCGGUAUGUAAAGCUCUAUCAGCAGGGAAGAAAGAAAUGACGGUACCUGACUAAGAAGCCCCGGCUAACUACGUGCCAGCAGCCGCGGUAAUACGUAGGUGGCAAGCGUUAUCCGGAUUCACUGGGUGUAAAGGGAGCGUAGACGGCCAUGCAAGCCUGGAGUGAAA